UUUCUCUGCUCUCAACAGACUGAAGGCAACGUGGGACACAACAUCAGGAGAAAUGCUGCUUGGAUUUACACUAAAUAUCAUCUUAAUGGAAGAGAAGGAAAUAUUUAUAUUAGAAGUGCAGUUGAGGAUUUAAGGAUCAGUUUGUGUCCACUGUGUUAUCAGAACAAGAGGAGGUUGUUUUCAGUGGAUAGAAGCUUGUUCACAGUGCAGGAGGUUUUUGUACGGCCACUUCAUGAGUUUGUAUCACUGUGGAGCACUUUUGGUGGAGGAACCAAACUCGUCGUUGACUUGGGGGUGGUGCGCCCCACCCUGACCGUCCUCCCCCCCUCCGUAGAGGAGCUGCAGAAGGGCAGUGCCACAGUGGUGUGUCUGGCCAGCGGAGGCUUCCCCUCAGCCUGGAGGCUGGGCUGGAAGGUGGGGGGCAGCAGCAGCUCCUCAGGGGUGUCAAACAGCCUGGAGGACCUGGGGAGGGACGGCCACUACAGCUGGAGCAGCACCCUGAGCCUCCCUGCAGACCAGUGGAGGAAGGCGGGCUCAGUGAGCUGUGAGGCCGGUCUGACUGGACAGAGCCCUGUCACUCAAACCCUGGAGCCUGACCGCUGCUCAGAGUAGAGCUUCAGCAGCACUUCCUGUCUGGAGGUGAUGCUGCUUCUUUGAUAGAGAUCUUGAUGAAGCUACAGAUCUCCUCUCUUCACAUAUUUCUGCAAACUCAUCAUUGUGUUUUAAUGUGCCUGCAGCUUCCUGUAACUAAUCUCACUCAUAUUCUGCUUCAUAGUUAUUAUUCUCAUAAUGUCUUUCAACAUUUUCAUCUAAACAAUAAAACUAAACAGCUUAUAAUAAA